GCCCUCACCAACCCACUCCUGGACCCCCUGCAGUUUGCCUAUAGAGCCAACAGGUCUGUAGACGACGCAGGAUGAAAAGAAGAAC